rnacentral:rRNA from 1 species
UACGGGGGGGGCAAGCGUUGUUCGGAAUUACUGGGCGUAAAGGGCGUGAAGGCGGCCAACUAAGUCGGAUGUGAAAUCCCCAGGCUCAACCUGGGAACUGCAUCCGAUACUGGAUGGCUUGAAUCCGGGAGAGGGAUGCAGAAUUCCAGGUGUAGCGGUGAAAUGCGUAGAUAUCUGGAGGAAUACCGGUGGCGAAGGCGGCAUCCUGGACCGGCAUUGACGCUGUAGCGCGAAAGCUAGGGGAGCAAACGGG